rnacentral:lncRNA from 1 species
ACUGGCUGUAUUUUCCAGACAUAAUUUCUCAAUGCCACACCUCUAUGGGGCACCUACAGGAAUGUCAAUCAUUUCGCAGGCAUGCCUGGCCCCAAAUGCAUGACUGGAUGUGGACAGCCGAGGUAAAAGCCCUUAAUGAGUGGCAUAUUAGUCAUCACAUGGUACCCUGGGCUGAUCCCCUCUCCACUCCCCGUUUCUCCAUCUUCAGCUGAGGUAGGACACUUCUUGAAAUCUCAAGGUAGCACAUGCUCUAGCCUUUCAUCUUGCCUUUUCUUGGCAGGGCUGCUGUGGUUGAGACAGAGUAGCUCUUUGAAAUAGAGUAAGAGUGGGAGAGCACCGUUCUUUCGGGAGGAUGAAACGAACCAGAUGAGAAAGUUGAGUGUGUGUGCUGAAGGGACAUAUCUGGAUAUCGUGAAAGAAUGCUGAAAGUCUCUCCCAAGCAGCCAAAAAAAAAAAAAAAAUCAUUAGUAUUUUGUUCUCAGAAGGAACCUGGAGGCUUUUGGCCCAGGCAAACUUCUUUGGAGUGAAUUUUAUACCUCCCCAGUGGAUUUUUAGCAGGAAAGUAAAAAAUAAAUGCUCCCGAGGCUGAGACCUCAUACACUGAGAAUCUUAAAAUUUGCAUUUUCUAUCAAUGAAAUUGACUUCAUUAUUUAAUCCAUCCUUUGUACAGUAUCAUUAGCAACUUCUCUCUUACAUCCCGCUCCCCUUGUUGCUUAGAGAAGACACAUGAGCAGCAAUGGUUACAUCUUCAUUUGACCUUCUCUGUGAUGAUGCGGCAACAUCUGAAUAUGCCAGGCCAGCCUACAAGGGUCUAUUUGCCAGAUGCCAUGAAUGUUUUAAGGGGCAGCACAUAGGUACACUUAAAAAGUGAUUACUUUCUAUUCUCUGAUAAUAUUUAAAUAAGUCAGGUGGACAGCCUUACAUUUUAGCGGCUAUAGAUUCAGGCACACAUUAACACCAUGAAAGGAAAGCAAAUGAUCCCUUUUCC